CCAUUACACUUCCUGCUUUUAACGGACUGAUACAGGAGGAAUAUAUGUGUAUAUGUAGACAGGGGACAUUUUAAACACGGUGUUUAAACCCUAAUGAGUUAAAUACCGAAUAUGUGGCGCUCUGAAAUGUGGAAACACUUCAGUUAAAGUAUCAGAUGUGUUUAUAUGAGGAACAGGAAAGGAUUUUAUUAGUCUGAAUCUACAGAAAGAGAUAAAGAUGGCGACUGCAAGCAAUGAGUUUAAACUCAUUGGUGCCAGUAAAAGAGAGUGGUAUAAUCUUUCUGCUGUCACUCUCUCAUGUCGUCUGUCUCCUGAAAUCAGUGCUGUUGACUUGGAGAUCCGGUGGUUUAAGGAGACAGACUGUGUUUGUGUUUAUAAGAACAGUAAGGUGACAGAGGGGAGAGGUUAUGAGGGCAGAGUGAGUCUGUUCACUCAGGAGCUGGAGAGAGGAAACGUCUCCUUACAGCUGAGA